rnacentral:lncRNA from 1 species
GCAUGUUCGGUUUUAUUAUCAUAUAGAAACGAUUCACCAGUGUAUACAUAUAACAUAUGCUAGUGCUUCUCUUGCUUUCUUCCUCAUGGCUAGGUGAUUAAUUUGCAUGUUCGGUUUUAUUAUCAGGCGAUGAGAAAGAAAGAAAUCGAGUUUGUUUAUGGGCGACGAGAAAGAAAGAAAUUGAGAGUAUGCGAUCCGAAGGUUUAUAAUCACCAGGCAACUUAGUUAUAUAAAAACAAAGCUAUUUAAAACCAAAGGAAUUACAAAACAAAGAGACAUACACAACCAUAUAUGUCUUCUUAAAUACAAAAUAGCUAGUGGUCUUUAUUUAUUAUAAUUAUAACUAAUUUCCACUUCAAACAUCUUUCUUCCGUACAAUAAUAUUCCAUCCUCACUGCACCCUGCAAAAAAAAAAAAAAAAAAUCACCAUUAAUUAUCUAAGUAAAUAUUAAAUACAUGGUAUGGCUGCAUGCAAGAUAUAAACAAUAUAUGCACUUAAAUAUGUUCAUUGUAUUUGUUAAAUGUGUCAAAUACUUUAAUAUGUACUUUAUGUACUUGCUUUUUAUAGUAUGAAAAAAGGGGUUUUGUGAGCCAGGAUUCUCACUUGAUCAGCCUUGCGGACCAUACUCUAUGAGUGAGAUUUUACUUGUUACGUUGGUUUAUUUUGUAAACUUCUUUAAAACAUUUUAAGCGGUUACGUUGGUUUAUAUUGUAAACUUCUUUAAAACAUUUUAAAGUAGUUUAAAUAGAAGCAUAUAUGUGUAUAUGAAAUAACAUACUUGGUGCAAUCAGUGCUUGGGCUGAUCUUGUAAGGGAUGUUAACACCACACUUGCCGGGGAGGCUGGCGGCAUUGCCAGCGUUGAUGUUGGACGAGGCAGCACUCUUUAAGCAGUUACAAAUAGCCUGACGAUCAGCGGUUGUUUUAGCCAAGCUAUUGAGUCCUUUUACCCCACUACAGCAUGCAGGCGGCACAUCGCCCCCUUUGGUUAGGUAGCCAUAGCAUGACACUAGUUUACCCGUCACCUGACCGCAACUAAUAGCAUCCGCAUAGGGUGCAGCCACCACCAUGCAAGUCACCACUACACAUAAAACCAUCAUUGUCAUCCUUGCCAUUUUUUGAAGUUGUAAGAAACUUAUGCUUUUUUUUUGUAUGAUUGUAAGGUUGUUGGUGCUAUAAAACGUUGUUUAAGGU